UACAGAGGGUGCGAGCGUUAAUCGGAAUUACUGGGCGUAAAGCGUGCGUAGACGGUUAUUUAAGUCGGAUGUGAAAGCCCCGGGCUCAACCUGGGAAUUGCAUUCGAGACUGAAUAGCUAGGGUACGGUAGAGGGAAGUGGAAUUUCCGGUGUAGCGGUGAAAUGCGUAGAUAUCGGAAGGAACAUCAGUGGCGAAAGCGACUUCCUGGACCAGUACCGACGUUCAGGCACGAAAGCGUGGGGUAGCAAACAGG
rnacentral:rRNA from 1 species